rnacentral:rRNA from 1 species
UACAGAGGGUGCAAGCGUUAAUCGGAAUUACUGGGCGUAAAGCGUGCGUAGACGGUUAUUUAAGUCAGGUGUGAAAGCCCCGGGCUCAACCUGGGAAUUGCAUUUGAGACUGAAUAGCUAGGGUGCGGAAGAGGGAAGCGGAAUUUCCGGUGUAGCGGUGAAAUGCGUAGAUAUCGGAAGGAACACCAGUGGCGAAAGCACUCUGCUGGGCCGACACUGACACUGAGAGACGAAAGCUAGGGGAGCAAAUGGG